UCCAAGGUCAACCAAACAAGGGCUAAAAGAAAGAGCUUUAUUGAAUGUCACCCAACAGGGGAGCAAGAGGCCUGCUCAGAUCUGUCUCCCCAGCUGGUCACAAGCAGGGUGUUCAAGGACGUUGGGAGUUGAUGGGUCUGAUGCUGUCUCGGUCUUGAUGAGAUCCAUCUUGGUUUUAGUCUGUGACUGAGGCUCCCAGCCUGUCUGUGUGCCCACCCUGUCUAAGGCCCUGGGUGUGAGACUUCUAGCUCAGCCUAGCUCAGGGUCAUCUGCAGGGCAGACUUGAAGCUGCUUCCCAGGAAAGCGUGGUCUGCCCGCAAAGAUCUUACACCACAGCCAGAUAUGAGGAAGUUAGGGCCUGAGGGGUGGCUGUGGGGUAGAGCACUUACCCAGCCCUGGGUUUGAUUCCAGGACUGAAAAAGGGAAAUAGAAACAUUACUAUUAAAAAAAAAAAAGCCCUGACAGUAGGGCAAGAUCUGAGCUCUGUUCUGACUUUCUUUCUUCUUGGUGCUGGGAACGGAACUCAGGGCCUCACGCGUGCCAGGCUCUAUUCUGGGCUACAUCUGCAGCGCUGAUUUGGGCUUUUUACAGGCAGGAGAAGUAAGGAGCUCCACAGAACCAGAGAAGUGGGAAGUUCAAGGGUUGGUGAGCAUGAAGGAGACCUCGGCUGCCGCGCCCUCCAGGGAGCCUGGGAGACGGCCUCCUCUUCUGAGGUUGCAUUCUGAGUUCCUGGUCCUUGAGAGAUGCUUCUGUGCUGGAAGAGACACCCACUCACAAUCCAGGCCCUCCAGCCAGGACUUGGGGUCAAAGGUGCCGGCAGUCAGCGCCCUCCUGGUCCAUCGUGAGGUAGAGGGAAAUAGCCCAUUACAAAUGAAUUUCUUUGGCACAUUUUGAAUUAGAAAAACAAACCUUCUGCAGACACAGAAGUGGCUUUGAAAGGCUGCCCUCUGGUAAGUUUAAAGGAAGUCUGCGUGGGGACCACAACUGCAGUGGGGGACGGAAACAGCUUCUGUAGCUUCUGCCCACUUUCAACCUGAAAGAUCUUUCCACUGGGGGAGGAGACCUGGGGCAUGCCAUGGCCCAGACACACUGCCACAGGGGCCGGUACCUGGGAGGCCUCCUCUGCCCGGCAAGACGGCGGCCUCCCUCAAGGGGUAAGAUGGCUAUCUUCUUUUCUCUGUUAAUCGCUCUUGUUUCCCUAUUAAUCCCUGUUGUCAGUUUUUCAUGGAUUAAAUUAAGAACACUUCAAUGGGAAAGGAACAAGUUUAAAACUUACCUACGACAAGCAGCACCUUCUUGCUGGGCCUCACAUGGUGGAGGGGGCAACAAAGAUUCUGGGGUCCAUUUUGUAAGGUCACUAAUCCCAUCAUGAGGACCCACCCCAACCCUAAUCACCCCUCCCUCAUCCUUGCACCCCCAAGACUUAGGAGGGUUAGGACUUCAACAUGAGAAUAAACCAAGUGUUCCCUCUGUCUCCACAGGCUUUAACUUUGCCAAGAUCUUGAGCUGGAGAGGAGUUUAUUAAAUUGGUGGAGUCAGCUGGAAACCUGGUCUCACCUUUGAGAUCAAACCCCGAGCUCAUUCCACUGAGCACCUUGGGCUCUAAGGGCACAGAUGAGGAACCAGGCAGAGGGCCCUCCCCUGGGCUCUGUCCCCUCCAGUGGUCCUUGGUGGCCUGGAAGGCCUUCCACCCUGAGGCAGUGCUUAAGGGCUGGGCCUCUCAGUGGGUCUGUGUUGGCUCUUCCUUACAGACAGGAGGAGCUGCCCGCCCCAGCAGGUCUCCCUGUUUAGGACAAUCAGUGUUGGUAAAGGAGCCCUUGGGAUGUGCCUGCUCCCCUCUCCCCAGGCGUGCAAGGACCUUCUGAAUGACCAGGCCAAGUCCUGGAGACCUCCUAGACUGCGGUGGAUGCCUGAACGGCAUCAGGGGCCAGGUACAAAGGAGGGCUCUGUGCUGACCUGGUGGCAGGCAGUGUAGCGGCCCACGUGGCUCUGGAUGGUCUCCACACAGAAGUACAAGUGUCCAUUUGACGAGGGAGGUGGCACGUCACUGUGAGGGCUGCUUUCUGGACUGUGACUCACCUGAAGCUCACACAUUCGCAUCCACCCCUGCAGCUGGGAACCAGAGCCUGUUGCUCUGAUGGCUAGUUUCAACCUGAGAAAAACCAGUGAGAGGCUGUUGUGAAAAGGAGAUUCUGAAUGUCCUCUGAGGCAAGACCUUUUGGCCAAGCUAACAAGUAACUGGGCUCCAGCUGCUGAGAACACUGGGCCUGUGCACCUGCAGAGGCCACGGGGAGAGGUCAGGUCAGGCAGCUGGCUCUUGGGGAAGGUCUGGGAACGUGCCAGCUAGAAACCAAGAGGCCCAGGCACGGCUCGCGCUUCCUGGGGAGGGAUCCACCUGAAAGCUGUGGGGAACUGCUUCUUGGUGCUGACACCAAGUCGUGUGUGAGACUAAUGGGUGCCUGUUGGGAUGGAAAAAAGAAGGUUCUAGACCCAUCUUCACCUGGACCAGCCUUGGGCUCUGGAGCAAGUCAUUGGGUCUGAAAGUACAGUGACAGCCUUGACCCUGCCCUGAAGGCGUCAUGGUGUGCACAUGGGGCAAAGUCACCGCUGUGUUCAUAGAGUAUACCAGAAAUAGGGACCACUGUUCUCCUGCACCCAGAUCCACUGACCUGCCUCGACUGUCCUUCACUGCCACAUUGAGCCAGUCACUGAGGAUGCACUCCACACUGGGACCCUCUUGCACAUAGUGGCUGGACAAACCCUGCUGAGACUGCCCACCAGAGGGCCUGCACGUGGCCCCUCUGGGGUCCCCUGGUAUGGCAGCUGGAUUUCAGAGGAAUCUUCUCAGGAGGGGACCUUUAGAGGAUAAGUGCUAAAGGAAAACCAGGAGGAACAGCAAGCUCUUAUCCUGCCUACGGAGGGCCACCUGCAGCACUCUCCUGGACCCGUUGACUGAGGUGGUCACCAUCGUUCAGAUUCAGAAGCAGGAGACCUGGACUCCCCAUCUCGAUGAGAGGAGCAGCUAAGAAUUUGGAGCCAGCGUCGCAGCUGCCACAGCAGCGGGAGCCUCCCGCAGGCGCUGCCUAGUCCAGGUCAGGCCUCUCGCUGUCCUGCUGCUCUGGCCCACUCUGGAGGGACGCUCCUCUGACAUCAGCUAAUUCCUGGGGACAUUUACCUGCCAAACAACCAGCCGUCCGUCCUCCCUGGCCGCAGCCCCUCUGCCUGUUGGGCUUUCGCACUCCAGUCCAGCCACGCCCACAGGAGGCUGCCCCUGGCCCAGGCGGCCAAUCCUGUGCGGCCCCGCCUGCCAAGCCCCGUUGCUGGGGCUCUUCUCCUUGUGACGGCCUUGUCCGCUUGCCUGUCUCACCACUCCUGAUCAAGACAAGCCCCGGAACCCUGAGGCGACUCCACCAGAGUGCUGUUUCUAGGUGGACACUGAAUCUGUCCCGUCCUGCAGCUGCCUGGGCCAGUCCUGGGCCAGUCCUCCCUGGUCUCCCCUCCCUCAGGUGUGGAUGUUGUUCUGUCCAGUCACGUAUAGUCCCAGGCCUCUCGCCUAGAACAGGUGACCAUGUGGUUCACCCACAAACUCCUCCUGCUCUGAGGCUCGGCUCCAGGGCCCUCCUAUGGAAGGCUGCCACCUCUCAGGGCAGCUCAGAUGAUCCAUGGCUGCGGGGCCAGACCUCCCUAUGACACUCUCCACGUCACCUCGUUGUCUACCGUUUACGAAUAAUUCACAGGCGUUUGUCCCCCAGAGGCCAUGGAUCCUUUCUGGGAAGAUACCAGUUUUUCCUGCUUAUUUUCCUGAAAUGGAUGCCUGGCUUUCAGCAGGAGAGAGACCUGUGGAGUUCAAUAGAUUAGAGAGAGGAAAGCAAUGUUGUGUGCAGGCGGGAGCUUUUCACACAACACACCCGGGUAUACAGACACAUGUCCAUCUGUGCAGCAUGUACAUGUACGUGCAUAGGAUGUGUGUGGUGUGUGUACAUAUAUGUGCAUGUGUGCGGAUGUGUCUAUGUGUAUGUACAUGUUGGCAUAGAGCUAUGUGCCCACGAACACAUGGGAUUGUAUCUCACAGGCACAGUUUCACAAACCAAAAGACAGACAAAAACCCCGUCUGAAUUUCCCACCCUUGGUCCUUGUUACAGCACCACCUCUACUUUUAGCCUGGCUUGUUGAGACUUCUCAGUAGCUGGGAGGAUAUUUGCUUUGACCAACAAAUAGAACAAGAACAUUUAGUGGCCUGUAUGCUAUGAUUAACAUCAAUUUUAUAUAAUUUGGAUAACUUAGGUGCAUUUCCCAGCUUGUAGUUAAGACUUUAAGGUUCAUGCAAAACUGCUCUUAGAUCCAAGAGCAGAUAAAGACAGAAGCACUUAGAUGCUAGUCAAAGGCAGCAUUUUGUGCCUGUGGUACCCAUGUGAAGACCGAUUACAACUUCCAAACUGAAUUAUAUGAUCAUUUGCUGUUGCAAUUGAUUUUUUAUUUCAGUGCUAGGGAUUGAAACCUGGGCCUUCUGUAUGCUACACAAAUGCUCUACCACUGGGCUAUAUCACCAGCAUUAGCUACAGAAAUCUAGAUCAGAAAUAAGCUUCUUGCCAGACUUCUAAUGCAGUGAUCCUUGACUUUUAGCUUGCAAUAUUAUCGCUCAGGUCCUGGCCUUUUGAUUUCACUCCUCAUCUUUGUAUGAACCCCAGUCUUUUUCUGACAGCUUUCAGAUAUCCAUAGAAAUCUGAGGGCUUGGCAGGUGUGACAUACAGGCUGUAAUCCCAGUGACUUGGGAGUCUGAGGCAGGAGGAUUAUAAUUCAAGAUCCCCUUCUGCAACCCAGUGAGACCCUGUCUCAGAAAACAAAAAAGGCUGGGGUAGAGGGCCCUAUCACUUCCUCCCUACCACCCCUGGCAAAUAGAUCUGAAAGUUCUGCUGUGAUUAUAUUCAAAAUUCAUUACUGAGGACUUGGGGCACCUGUUCAAGCUAUAAACUUACAUGUUUCAGUUCAGGGAGACUUUGUUAAUUUUCUAUCUAAGAUCAUGUUUUUUUUUUUUCUUUCUGUUGUUUCUGGAAACUCUCACUUAUCGGUUUUGGAUCCUUUUGGAUUGACCCUCCAAGUUUGAAGUCUAUUCUAUAUUUUUCAUCACUUCUUUGUGUUGUAUACGUUAACAGAUAUUUGAGUGCAGAAUAAAUUUCAGCACUGUGCUCUGACCGUCACAUACAGGGUGAUGAGAUUUUUCAAGUCUCUGUGCUCACUGGCCAUUUCACUAUCUUCUUUGGUGAGGUAUCCGUUCAAGUCUUUUGUCCAUCUUUUCUGGAGCUGUUUUUUUUAUGACUGAGUUGCAGUUCUUUAAUGUUCUACAUACAAGCCCUUUGUCAGGUAUAGGUUUGGUGAACACUUUCUCACAUAUUAGAUUCUAAUGAUGAAAAGAAGCUUUAAUGUUGCUAAAGGCUAGUAGUUCACCCUUUUUUCCAUUUAUGGUUAUGCUGUCUCUGCUACAGAAGCUGCAUAUGUGUUCUCCCACAUUUCCUUGAAGAAACUGUGAUUUGGGGCCUCUUUCUUGACUCUUUUCCCCUCUGGUUAUGGUUUACAUUUUCCUGCGUCUUCUAUAUUUAGAAACUUUUCAUGCUGGUUAUUGUAAGUGCUACAUUGUUCAGGGAGAAUGGAUUCUGCUGUCUUUCUCUAGGAGUAUUGGAGGCUCCCCGGCAAGUACACAGCAAUUAAUAUGCAGGCAGCUCAGCGGGUUCCUGCGAAGGUUUGGUUUCAGGUUUUGGUGGGGUGGGUGGGCAGAGCCCCUGCUCCUGGGUACAGCUAGUGGCCUUGUUGUGCUCCCUCCAGAGCCCAGGGUCCCAGCACUGGUCUGCUUGCUCGUGGCAGCUGGGACUCCCCGUCUGGUGCUGUGUGGUCUCUGUCCAUCUGUGCACAGGCACCCCCACAGCUGCUCUCCGCCAGACCUUCGGGAGCCCACUGCGCGGCACAUCUGGCUCCACCCACAGAGGACCAGCCUGGGGAUUUCUGGACUGUCUGCUCUGUGCAGCUCUGCCCUUUCCUGACCCUGCCCCGCCAACCUCGUGACCACCGCAGCCCGAGCUGUGCAGGGCCACUUCUUCUUUUUAGGGUUCCGCUUUCCGUCAGCCUUGUUUGGAAAGUGGCCCCAGAUGGACAUUGGUGCAGACGCAGAGUCCGUGCUGUGUCUGGUCCUCUCAGGGCCUCAGCCCUGCAAGACGCCUGCUGCUGAAAAUGUUUGCUGUGUGUCUUUUGCUCAGUUUUAUGGGCAUUUUUUAACAACCUCCGAAGUCGGGAGACAGACCUUGCUGGCUAGGCCAAGUGGGCCUCACAUGUCCUCCCUGCACCCCGCCUGCCUCCUAUAGCAUUAGCCUCUCUGUCCACACUGGCAUCCCCAGCGCUACCGUCCCUCCAUUGUUAGUCUCUUUACAUCAGUUCCGGGAGGCACUGCCCACAGCUCCGAGCUCUGAGGAUCCCCACGGCAGGCGGCAGGCGACUGGGCCACCCAGCUUUCAUUCACUGCACCCCGCCGCGGAGAUUGGAAUGUCCCUCUGUUCCUUUGUAUUUGUGUAAAUUUGUAGUUGGACACAGAGGCUUACUGAGGCUGAGGUUUGGCUUCUGUAGCAAAACCACCUCACAGGCAGUUUUCCAUCAAGAAGAACGUGCCAUCUUGUGCCUUUGUGUGAGGUGCUGCAGUCUAUGAUGCUCAAUGACAGUCCCUUGGGGUUGAAAAAUAGCAGGAUUCUGUCAUUCUUCCUUACUUGCUCAAAAUUUUCUAUGUAGUAACACCUUCUGUCUACACUGCUGGGACCUGAAUAGUGACGAUUUGAAUAAGAAAGGCACGUUAAGGUUCUCCAUUCUUUCCCUGUGUUCUCAGUUUUGAAUAGUUGAUUCCCUAGCAUCUCUUCAGGGUGGCCAGACACAUGUAUAUGUGAGUGCGUGUGUGAGAGUGUAUGUGGUGUGUUUGUGUGUGUGUGUGUGUAUGUGUAGUGUGUGUGGUGUUUGUGUGUAUGUGUGUGUGAGUGUGGAGUGUGUGUAAGCAUGCGUGUGUGAGUAUAGGUAUAGGUGGUGUGUAUGUGUGUAGGUGUGUGUGGUGUGUGUGAGUAUAUGUGUGUAAGUGUGUGUGUUUCCUGUUAUCUGGGGGCUAUUUCAAUCUGAUGCAGUUAACAUCCUCACUGAUGCUCAAUUGUCCUAUUUUGGACCUUGGAAAAUCUACCAUUUGAUAUUUGUGUCCUAUUAGCAUCACCUGGUAGUCUUUAAUAGCUUCGUUGCUCUCUGAUAAAAUGUUCUAGAUUCAUUUUCUACAUUUUCUGCCUCAGACCUAGAAUCAACUACUUCUUCAAAACCCUCUGUGCCACCCUCCCCUCCCCUGGGAGAUGGCACUUCAAGACAGCAUUAGAAUGGGGAACGCUCACUUGGACUGGGUGAUCAUUGCUUUAAGGUUUUCACAGAACACAUUCGUCCAUGUCUAUAUCUAGCUUUCUACCUACCUGUCACACACUCUCCAAUAUUGAACAGUGUGUUUAUAGACCAGCUAACAAAUGAAACGGAAAAGAGAACCAAGGGAAAACCAGCUUAACUAUGGAGCUUUGAUUGACAUUAGAGAGAGGAUUAUAGGUAUAUAGGUGAAGAAGGAACUAUUUAACAUAAUUAAUGCUAGGACAAAAAGGGAAAUUUGACCACUUCCUCACUCCAUACACAAAAAAUCACAUCAGAAGAGAUUGAGGAUUUAAAUAUGGAAGGUGACACUUUAAACUUUUAAAAGAAUACAUAGAAUAAUAGAGGUAGUAAGUUUGGUUUCUGAGUAUCAUCCUCCACUAAAAGGAAAUAGGGAUCCUGGGAGAAAUGGCUGGUUCCAGAGCUGGGUUACAAAAAGACAAGAUGAACCUGUUUCAGGGCUGGGGCCUUCUGGGAAAUCGAGGCAGUGUGAAGACCCCCCUUCAAACCCUGAUUCCUGUCAUCAAGUCAGGAAGGUUUCAGACACGUUGCUCAGGGAACAGGCAUGAGUUCAUCAAAGGGCUAGGAAAAGGGAAAGGGGAUGCUCUCAUGGGGAGAGUGGUCCUCUCAGAGAGGAGAGAGACAGCGUGCCCCUCCAGCACGCCAGUUUUAUUGGGGAUCCCAGGGAAGUUUCCAGAGAGUCCCACCCAGGUCCACCUUUUGACUUUUGGCUGACAGGAGGACAAUGUCAUGUUUUCAAGUCCCCACUGCCACGGCAACUCUACGUUUGGGCCAUGCUGACCAGUUCAAAUUGGACUCUUAAAUUCUUACAGAUUUUAUGAUUAGGAGGAAUUAUCCUUAUCUCCCUAAGUUUGGGGAUCUGGUCUGUGGAAAGCGUCCCCCUUCAAGGUAAUUCGGAUUUCUCUUAGCAACAUUAUUUCAGGCAUUUCUCCUGCAGAUAACAGGUAGUUUUCUAUGGAAUGUGACACAGUCUGUCCACUUUGGCCAGGCAGGGCUGCAGGUGAAUUGCUUCUUGGAAGAGAUAGCAUAUGGGGGUCAGCAGAAUGGACCCAGUUUAUGGAUAUCCCCUGAACCUUGUGUUCCCACCACUGGUGUCUGACUGUCCCCUAUCAAACCAGAAAGUAAGGACAUGCUUAAAAAUAAUGAAAAUAUGUCCAAGGACAAGGGGGUAGGAGGAAAGCCAAAUGGCCAAAUGUGGGACAAUUUGAGCAGCAAAAUAAAACAAUGAGAAAAAUGGAUUAUAACUUAUUGAAUAAUGCCGCAGUCUGGCUGGGCACAAUCAGGAGCCACUUGUCAAAAGAAACUAACUUUAUUUUUAGAACCACACACGCCAAACAAAACAGCCUCUCAGGAAAAACCCUCAGAGCCUCAACUGCCACCACCGGCUUUCCACAAGCCUCUCUCUCCCACACAAGCUUCUCUCAACCUCCCACAAUCCUCCUGCUCUUGAGGCCGAUUGGCUGGGUCAUGUGGGCGGAGCCAAAAAAGUCCCCCAAUGAGCAGCUCCGUGGUCUGAAAGGGCAGGGAAACAGCCCAAUGAGCAUCACCGCAGAGGAGCCAAUCAGCUAGAUGUUGCUGGGGCCGAGGAGCCAAUCAGCUAGAUGUUGCUGGGGCCGAGGAGCCAAUCAGCUAGAUGUUGCUGGGGCCGCUGUGAGCCAAUCAUCAGCCAGCAGCUGGAAGUUUGCUGGCAGCUGGAAGUUUGCUGGGGCCCCUUUGGCUGUGGCUCUCAACAGAAUAAAAUAAAAAUCUAUGCGCCACACUGAUGUAGAUAAAUAAAAUGAGGCAAAGUUCCUCCUCAGAGAACACCAACUAAUAAAUGUAGACAUUGAAAUACAGUUUAAAAAAACAAACCAAAAAAUCUCUCCCUCUUACAGCUGGCACAGUAGUGACUGACUCAAGGAAAGAAGCAUCCUCUGAUGCUCUCUGGUCACCUCCAGACGUACCUCAGCUUACUCCUCACCUCGCUGGUUUAGGAUGACAACUUACUACCCACCAAGUUGUGGGAGUGGCUUUGCAGGGUGAUUCUGGCCUGGCACCUCCUGGAGGCUGCGAUUAGGGGUUGCCUCGCCUGAAGCUGCGAUGUCCCCAGGCUUGCCUGGGGGAGAGGGUCAUCUCCAGUGACUGGCUCCCACAGCUGCUGCAGGAAGGCCCAGGCCCUCACUUUGAGUGCCUGGACCCUCUGGGGAAGUGGUCCAGAGCAAGGUGGGGGCCAACAUGGCUUCCCGUGUGACUGAACCUUAGAGGUGAACUUCAUUAUAUCCUCAACAUCCCUCUGGAUUGGUGUGGGGAGGGGACCCAGGGAUGUAGGUCAGGAUCACUGGCACCAAUCUGGAGAAUGGCUCACAGAUGCUAAAAUUAAUAGGGAAAUUUGAUGAGGGGGAGGAUAUUUAUAGUCUCAAAGUGCCACUCCAUGAAAUAUUAAUUACUAAAGGAAAACAGUAAUUUUACAGUGAGAGACCUGACAAACACACUUAGCCAAGUGAUCAGAAAUUGCAUCACCAAUUACAGGACAAGCUGAUAUCAGGUGCUCUGAGGUGGUCCUCCUCAGGACUUAGGUGCUACUCCUGCCCCAAAUGCAUAACUGAAAUCUACCCAUAAGAAGGCAGCAGAUGACCCUAAAUGAAGGUCAUUUUACAAAAUAUUGCCCUUAAGAACAGCAGUGUGUGGUAGACGGAGAAAGGAUAGACCACUCCAGAUUCAAGGACACUAACUAAUGCUGGGUGUGGGGGCACAUGCCUGAAAUCCCAGCCACUAGGGACCUGAGGCAGAAGGAUCGUGAGUUUGAGGUCAGCCAGGACAACAUAGUCAUACGCUGUCUCAAAAACAAAACAAAACACUAAAGUUAUUCUUCAUGGAUUCUAAAGAAGUAGGACCAGUGAUGAUUUUGAGCUGAAUCUUGAACUGGGAGGAAAUGUUGCUAUUGAGAAUAUUGUUGAAGCAGUUGGAGAUUUUUGAGUAGGAACCAAAGAACCAAUGACAGAUGCGAUGGGCUGGGUGGGUUCCCACUGACUCCCUCAGAGCCAGGUUUUCAAUACUAUGCAGUUUUUUGUGCUGUUGGUUAGACUGUCAGUAACCUGAAAUCAACCGUGGUGAGCUGUUAACCAUGGGAGCCAGCAAAUGCUAAGAACCAGGUCCCCUCUCCCUUCCCGUUGUGCCAGCCUGCCACUUGAUAAUGGCAUUGGGGUAGCGCUCCGUGUCCUCUGCAGACGUCAGGGUGCCGUGUGAAGCCAUGGUCUUAUUCUAAGGGCACACACGUGAGGGCAAAGCAGCUUGACCUCUGCCUCUUACUGAGGUGGUUCAUGAUGCACAGAUAGACCAGUGGAUAGAAAAAGCUAACAUGGCAAAGUUGUGACAAGGAUGAAUCUGGGUAAGGAGCUAUUUGGGGUAUUCUUACGACUUUUCUGUAAAUUUAUUUUUUUUUCCGAGAUAAAACAUUAAAUGUUUCCAGAUUAUUGAGAACAGGAAAGAUAAUUGAUUUGCCCAGAGUCAUGGAGAACAUGGAUUUUUGGUCCAAAACUCUCAUGACGCCUGGAAGUGGCCUUAUUUUAAAGAUAUUCAAAAGUUUUUUUUAAAACUUUCAUGAUAAAGUUAAUGUGUGAACAGCUUUUAGAUUUUGAAAGUAACCUGUUAUGUGUAAACAUUUACAUUAAAAACAACACUGUUUUGUUUCCUUUUUCCUAUUACAGUUGCAAUGUUUCAUUGGCUACAGAAUUUAGAGUUGCCCAGAAGAGCUGAUAGUCACUUGACCAAGGGAGAAAGAAGAAAUGUAUUUGAAGGCAGAGGGAAUUUCAUGUGGAUCAAACAAAAUUUACAAAAUGUCGUCUAUAAAGUUGACAAAUUGCACUUACAUAACACUAAUUAUAGAUGGGGAAUCAUUCUGCAGCAGGUUUUCUCAAAAUAGCUCUACUGACAUCGUGGGCCUGAUCAUUCUGUGCUGUGCAGGUCCGUUCCAGGCAGCAUGGGGCAUCCGGCAGUGCCCUCCCCUCUACCACUGGAAGCCAGUAACCGAGCUCCCCACUCCCCAACCACCACCAAGAAAACAUGUGUCCAGACAUUGUCAGAAGUUCUCUGGGAGGGCAUAACUGUUCCAGUGGGGAAGCACUGUUUCAGAUAUAGAAAAGUCAAAGAAAAAAGAGGAUUGGUAUAUGUUCCUACACACACAUAUAUGAAAGAAAUAUUAAGACAGCAAGAAUUUCAGCGUGCAUGUCCCAAAUUGUGUGUGUAUUUUAAUCUUCUUGUGUAUUGUUUAGAUUCAUUAAUUAAAUCAGUGCAAUAUUCUAUUUCAUACACAUUUUAGAGAAUGAAUAUAUAUAUUUUGGAAUGACAAUAGCACUGGAAGGUGGGGCUGGAGAUGUAACUCAGUGUUAGCCUACAUACUUAGCUGGCUUGUGAGGUCCUGGGUCCGAUCCUCAGCACCAAAAACAUUUUUAAAUGAACACAU
rnacentral:lncRNA from 1 species